GCAGGGCCKGGCCGCGCUUCUGUGCGAGCGGCUACCGCGGGACUGGACAGCCGGUGAGGGGCGGAGGCACCGGAACACCGCCCCGGGGGUAGGCGGAGGCUGAGCGCUCUCCCUGUCCGGCGCUCUGAGCCGAYGCUGUGAAGAACAAGCCCCGCGGGGCCGUGCGACCGAGGCCCGCCGCAGUGCCCGACGAGCGCUGGGCCCAGUGCAGUGUCCCCGGUGUGGCGUCCCCGGGGCCGGGCCCGGGAGCGGGGGGCGGGACCCGGGAGCGGGGCCUGGCUGCGGACUCGCCCCGCAGCGCCGCCUGCUCCCAUCACGUGAGCGCGCUCAGCACGUGCCGGGAUUCCCCGCCCGCCCUGCCACACGUGACUGGCCCCGAGGAGCUGCCAUCACGAGAAGGGCGCCGCCAUCUUGAGAAGGUCGGCGGCGGGAGCCCUCCUCAUGCGAUCCCACCCUGGAUCCCCAUCGUGAGACCCGAUCCUGAACUCUGAUCGUGAGACCCCAUCUUGAACUCUGAUCGUGAGACCCCAUCCUGAACUCUGAUCGUGAGACCCCAUCGUGAGACCCCAUCCUGAACUCUGAUCGUGAGACCCCAUCGUGAGACCCCAUCCUGAACUCUGAUCGUGAGACCCCAUCGCGAAGCCCCAUCCUGGCACCUCCAUCCCAAGACCCCCAUCCUGACACCUCCGCCCGCUGCCCCGAUACAAGAGGGAAGCUGACGAGACUCAGUGGUUCCACCCAGCUGAUGUGGGCUCGGGCACUGCUGAUGAAUCUCUCCCAGGAAAGAUAAAUUAUGGGGAAUAYAAUUAUGUAUGAAUGUAACAUCCCUGUCUGGCCUGGAAUUGGAUUUUAAUUAGAUUUUCUGCUAUGCUUAUCAUUCCRUGAUGUCAGUGCUUGUCCACACUACAAGCUGCCCCUAUUGUCAACAGGAUGCUGGGGAAGGGGCCUGAAAGGGAGGGAUAGGAAUGAUGCUGGGAAAACUACAUCUCUCUGCCCUGCUUAUUUGUCUGUGAAGGAAGGGUCUAUCCAAGCUGYUACAUCCAAUUUGGAUGUCAGAAGGCAUGUGUGGCACUCAAAACUGCCUGUGGCCAAAACAGGUCCCUUCCCCAGGAACACACAAGCUGACAUGGCUGUGACAGUAACUUCAGCUGGCAGUGGAAGAGAUGCUGAAGUAAAGGCAAAUAYUGACUGCACAGAUAGGAACAACCACCUUAAAUAUCCCACCCCAGGCCCACCCAGAGCAGUGACAGAGCUUCACUUGACAACCCUCCAGCCACACAGCUUCAAGGCUUCCUCAGGCUGCCAGUCCCAAGCCUGAAUCAGAGUGCUGAGACCGCCURGUUUUCUGCACUGCUGGGAGAACAGAACAGCCCGUGCCAAGCAAUGAGAAUCUGUUCCUCGAGGCUAUAGGUUYGCUGCCUGGCAGCAAGAGCAGUUGGACCUGCGCACUUAGGAGAAGUCAGGGAGCACRUGGAGCAGCUGUGGGAGCAGGACUAAGGCUGAUACUGCUGCUGCAUGAAGGUUACYAUGCUUCUCUGUAAACCAGACCUCCCUGGGAAAGCCAAUCCCUGAGCAAUCACAGAUAAAACCGUGAUACUUAAAAACGAUUCUCCAAACAGCAGUGAAAGCAAAUUGCAGCCUUUGGGGAAAAAAAAAAAACCCAAAAAACCAGUGUGAAAGGGUUAAUACAGAACAAGGUCAGGAGGCUCUGURAAGGCAUUGUCUGUGCUGGCAGCUCUGGCAACAGGUCCUGAAGCUCCCYAAGCCUGCAGAGCCGGCUGAUGGCCGGGUCCCUGUGCUGCUGCUGCUGCUGCAGAGGCCCCGUUCUCUCUGCAGGGCUGACUCACUGCAGCGCUCCUGGCCACGCACGGAGCACCACAGCACCGCGGCUGCGCUGGCACAGCCACCCCCUUCCCYGCUUCCAAACCGACCAUCGAGUCAAUCCCUGCCAGCUGGGACUGCGCUCUGAGCUGCCAUGCUCCUGGCACUGAAGGAAUUUAAAAAACCRCAAAGGUCCCUACUUUUCCUUAUGCCCCGAAUCACUUGAGAAAUGUGCUGAUGCAAGAGCACCAAUGAAGGACUUGAAAAGCGAGUUUUCACCCAGGAGUCAUCACAGAGGAUUCAGAGCAUCACUGUCACGGCUGAGGCAGCAUGUGCAGACUGUUAAUUUGACUCYGGGUGUAUUGCAGGUACUUGGCACAAAGCGAUCCUCCCCCAGUCUGUGGUCACUCCAGCUCUGUUCUUCUUGCAUGGGUUUAUAUAUUAAUGACAAAGGCUUCAUGAUCCAAGGCAUGAAUCAAAAUGCCAUUGAAGGGAUUUUGCCUGCACUGAUUUUCUAAGUACUUAUUGUCUCUGCACGAUGUCACCAACCUGUAAGGGAUCUUAGGGUGCCUGAAAUGUGGGGCCUUUCAAUUGCUUACUGCAYGUGGAGAUGAGAGCAUUUAGCUGCUCUCUUAAACACAAUUUGCUCACGUUCUUGUUAACUGGCAAAAAGACAGGCAGCAGGGUCCCCUUACAGAAGGUAAGACUGGGUAUUAAGCAUAUUUGCAACCCCAGCCAGGACCCUCUCCUAGCCUGCCACACAAGCCAAAUGCAAUUCCUCUCACCAGAACCGCAAGCUGGACGCAGCAUCCUCUCCAGAGCCUGGAUUCAGGAUUCACCCCACAGCUGCAAGCCUGUCACACAGCACCAGGAAGGCCCCUUCUACAGUCACUAUGAGAGACGAUUAAUCCACAGAUUCCAUAAACCUUUAUGGACCCCGGGGAAAGCCUACUUCAGAGGUUUAGUCUACUACUUUUGUGCAUGAAUGACCAACACCAUUGUGAUCAGGAAUUUCCCUUUCCCCCAGGCACUGCUUCAGCAGGCAUCCAGUACUUUCCUUCAGUCAGCUUACACCUCUGUAUGGCCCCACCACCAUCUCUGCUCAUAUUUCCACAAGGUAAAGCCCUUCCCAAGCAAAACCAGCCCAGUCCAGCCCAGCACCAGGCAGUUGAGAAGCAACUGCAGAGAAAUCAGUGUUUUAGCAGAGAUUUUAGCAAAGAGCAAAAAAAAAAAAAAAAAGCCAAUUACCUUCUUUAAUGAUUAUUGUUAUAACUACACCCUGACAGAAUGACUGGCUCAUAGCCAGAGUCUCCUGAACACCCAGAAGGUGCACACAGUAACACCAGGCCUGGGCAAUGCCCGUGCCAGGUUAGAAGCUCCAGACAGCUUCACUGAAUUCCUUAUGCUCUGGCCACAGCUCUUCAUAGAACUUGCACCAGAUUCACAGGAUCGGUACCUGAGUCAAACACACAUCUUCAUUCCCAAACAGGUGACAGAUCCCUCCACCUGCACCAGUUUCGUUUGAUUUCAAAGGCACUGCUAGCACAGGUAUCUGUGUAAUAACAUUUUGGCUUGAACAAGGCAAAGCCUGACCUGUUCUCCAAGGUACAGACUGAGGAUUAAGGUGAUGUACUUCCCAAUGCUAACUGGGACCAAGCUUUACCACUGAAAGGGUUCAACACGCAUUUUCCACAUAAGCUCUCAAAUCCUCAGGACAAAGGAAGCUGCUCCCGCACUCAAUAACUGCAGCAGCAGAAUCUCCCAGCUCAAAAUGUCCUGAUUUAAAAAUUAAAAAUACAAGUUCUUGACUGAAGCCAUUYUGUUGAUGAGACUAUUGUUGAGGUACUUCAGAGGCAAUUACUUUUCACAGUACAGCUUCUAAGGAACUCAGCCUCUGCAGGGCCAGCACRAGGACAGGCUGCCCUGUUUCCUGACAAGGCAGUUCCUCUCCUGGUCACAGGCUGAAGCCUGUACCCUACCUCCCUUGGUUACAGGGCACCACCCUAAGCCAGAUGUACUGAUCAGGGUGAGCAUAGCCAUGCAUUCCCGCUCACCAUGAAUACAGCCCAUGGCAGCAGCUGCAAACCACAUUGCCACUGCUCUGGAGAAAGUUUGUGGCAGAGGUGGCAGCAUUACUCCUGCAAUGCUGCCCAGUCACUUCAGGAACYUGCCUCCCCUGAGGUACCCUGCCCUCUUCCCAAAGGAGCAGCAACAGCUGGAAAUGAGAGCCAGGGACUCAUUACAGCAAUGUAGUGAGGAAGUUUUAUUUGGAAACAUGGUAGAAGUUUGUAACCCAACACUGGGUGCACGACUGAUGCCGGAGCAUACGCGGUUACUAAUGAAACACAGGAGUGUUUCGGACAAUUGCUGUAAUAAAACACAAAAUUCUCAUACUCCAAUACCAGGACACUACAGCAAUCUUUAGAAUCAAAGUUACAUCCAAGGAAUUCUUUGCACUUACAACUGACCCCACAGUGUAAUCUACCUAUAUAUAAGAUUAAUAUAUAUAGCAUGGGAAAUUGAAAAUCCUUGCUCCAUAGAUGUAUGAACAUGUCAAGUCUUUUAUAAAUAAACAUCCAGUGAAGAGAAAAAAUUACA